UACGGCCAUAUACCUUUGAAAUACCGGUUCUCGUACAAUCGCAGACGUUAAGCAACGUCCAGCCUGGUCAUUACCAAGAUGGGUGAGUGCUUGGGAAUACCAGGUACUGUAA